rnacentral:rRNA from 1 species
AAACUUGAGAGUUUGAUCCUGGCUCAGAACGAACGCUGGCGGCAUGCCUAACACAUGCAAGUCGAACGAAGCCUUCGGGCUUAGUGGCGCACGGGUGCGUAACGCGUGGGAACCUGCCUUUAGGUUCGGAAUAACAGUUAGAAAUGACUGCUAAUACCGGAUAAUGUCUUCGGACCAAAGAUUUAUCGCCUUUAGAUGGGCCCGCGUUGGAUUAGAUAGUUGGUGGGGUAAUGGCCUACCAAGUCGACGAUCCAUAGCUGGUCUGAGAGGAUG